CCGCACGUCCCGAUUGAGUGACGUCCGCUUCCUGCUCCACAGAAUCAUAGGAUGUCCAGUGGACGUGGUGGUGUUCAGCUAGAGGUUGGACUCAAUGGUCUUAGAGGUUUUUUUCCAACCUGAUUGACGAUGUGAUUCUGUGAAGCAAUGGCCAGGAGUGCAGCUGAGGGGAAAGGAGAAGAAAAAAACCGAAAAGAGAAAUUUUAAGAAACACUCUUUGAAUAGUUUUAGGACUGGGGGGAAGUAAUUCCAGAGACUCCAGGCUGAGGUUGCCUCUAAGCCAGCAUCCAUCAGACUGCUCCUACCAAAGGAAGAAGUUUCUACCUCCCACCUGUGGUUAAGGCUCCCCUUGGUGGUGGUAAAUGACCUUGGUAAAUGACCAAGCAUUCCACCUGAAAUCAUCUUGACAUGAAUAAUCUUGAAGAGAUCAGUGUCUGCCCUUCUUCUUCCCCUCAGGAGGAAGUUCUAGACUGCAAUGAGGUCUCCCUUCAGUCUUCUCCAGGCUGAACAGACCAAGUGACCUCAACUGCUCCUCACAGGGCUUCUCCUCUACAACCUCCACCAUCUCUGUAGCCUUCCUGUGAUCACUCUCUCUGGAUCCUUAUAUUGUGGUGCCUAAAACCUGUCUCUUAUACACAUCUAGAUGUGUAUAAGAGACAGGUCUAAAACUACCCCCAGCACUCAAGGUGAGGCCGCCCCAGCCCAGAGCAGAGCAGGACAAUCCCCUCCAUUGCCCGGCUGGCCAUGCUGGGCCUGAUGCCCCCCAGGCCCUCCUGCCUGCCAGGGCACUGCUGGCUCACAUUCAACUUGCCAUCAACCAGGGCACUGCUGGCUCACAUUCAACUUGCCAUCAACCAGGGCCCCCAGGUCCCUUUCCACAGCUGCUCUCCAGCCUCUCAUUCCCCGGUCUGUACACACAUCCAGGGCUGCCCCAUCCCAGGGGCAGAAUCCUGCACUUCCCCUGGUUGAACUUUAUAUGGUUGGUGAUUGCCCAUCUCUCUAUGAUGAUAGAGUAAACAACUCUACAGCGUAAGUUGUUAGGUUGUCAGUAAUGAGCAUUUUCAUCCUCUGAGUUCUGGGAUAUCUGCAAACAUCUGCUUGCCUUCCAUCUAAAAGACUAAUUACAGGAUGUUAGCCCUGUCUCAUCCCAAUGCACCGUAGAGUACACAACUUUAUUGCCAGUUUGCAAAAUUAUUUAUGUUUGAACAGCACAAAGCCAAAGCUUCAUCUUUGGUUAAUUUCACUGAGAUGUCACUGUUCUUUAAAUGUGCUCUUUCUUCACAUAAACACAGAAAUCAGCAACGCUGCACACAGCAUUCAUUGUUUUGAGUCAUAAAGCAAUGUCAAUGCAAUAUUCAGUAAUGAAAGCUAACUAAGAAAUCAUGUUUAGAAAUGAAACCUAUCCGAGGGCAUUUGGUAAAACACAAGAACUGCAGAAAUGUAGACAGAACUCCCUUAAAACUGCUUGGGUAUGGGUGCUGCUUAUAGAGUAGGCACUGGUUCGUUCCUCUGCAGAUCAUC
rnacentral:lncRNA from 13 species